GAUGAAGAACGUAGCGAAAUGCGAUAAGUAGUGUGAAUUGCAGAAUUCAGUGAAUCAUCGAAUCUUUGAACGCACAUUGCGCCCCUUGGUAUUCCAUGGGGCAUGCCUGUUCGAGCGUCAUUUGUACCCUCAAGCUAUGCUUGGUGUUGGGUGUUUGUCCUCUCCUUUUGCGAUUGGACUCGCCUUAAAGUAAUUGGCAGCCGGCCUACUGGUUUCGGAGCGCAGCACAAGUCGCACUCUCUAUCAGCAAAGGUCUAGCAUCCAUUAAGCCUUUUUUUCAACUUUUGACCUCGGAUCAGGUAGGGAUACCCGCUGAACUUAAGCAUAUCAAUAAGCGGAGGA
rnacentral:misc_RNA from 1 species